rnacentral:rRNA from 1 species
AGAGUUUGAUCCUGGCUCAGAACGAACGCUGGCGGCGUGCUUCAUACAUGCAAGUCGAACGAGAAAAUUCCGCUUCGGUGGAAUGAGUAGAGUGGCAAACGGGUGAGUAACACGUGGGCAACCUGCUCUCAAAUUGGGGAUAACCUCGCCAACACGGGGCUAAUACCGAAUGUUGUCCUAAUAUCGCAUGGUAUAAGGAUGAAAGCUUUUUUUUAAUAAGAAGGCGUUUGAGAAGGGGCCCGCGUCCUAUUAGCUUGUUGGUGAGGUAAUGGCUCACCAAGGCUGCGAUAGGUAGCCGGCCUGAGAGGGUGAUCGGCCACACUGGGACUGAGAUACGGCCCAGACUCCUACGGGAGGCAGCAGUAGGGAAUAUUGCGCAAUGGACGAAAGUCUGACGCAGCAACGCCGCGUGGGUGAUGAAGUUUUUCGGAACGUAAAACCCUGUCAGGAGGGAAGAAACUCUCGAUUUUUUCGGGACUGACGGUACCUCCAGAGGAAGCUCCGGCCAACUCCGUGCCAGCAGCCGCGGUAACACGGGGGGAGCAAGCGUUGUUCGGAUUUACUGGGCGUAAAGGGCGUGUAGGCGGAUGGGUCAGUCAGAUGUGAAAUUCCAGGGCUCAACUCUGGACCUGCAUUUGAUACUUCUCAUCUAGAGUAUGGGAGAGAGAUCGGAAUUCCUGGUGUAGCGGUGAAAUGCGUAGAUAUCAGGAAGAACACCGGUGGCGAAGGCGGAUCUCUGGCCUAAUACUGACGCUGAUGCGCGAAAGCUGGGGGAGCAAACAGGAUUAGAUACCCUGGUAGUCCCAGCCGUAAACGAUGGGCACUAGGUGUUGGGGGUAUUGAUCCCCUCAGUGCCGGAGUUAACGCAUUAAGUGCCCCGCCUGGGGAGUACGCUCGCAAGGGUGAAACUCAAAGGAAUUGACGGGGGCCCGCACAAGCGGUGGAGCAUGUGGUUUAAUUCGAUGCAACGCGAAGAACCUUACCGGGGUUUGACAUGCCCGUCAUACCUUGAUGAAAGUCAAGGGUCAGUUCGGCUGGACGGUGCACAGGUGCUGCAUGGCUGUCGUCAGCUCGUGUCGUGAGAUGUUGGGUUAAGUCCCGCAACGAGCGCAACCCUUACCCUUAGUUGCCAGCACGUAAUGGUGGGAACUCUAAGGGGACUGCCUCGGAUAACGGGGAGGAAGGUGGGGAUGACGUCAAGUCCUCAUGGCCCUUAUGCUCCGGGCUACACACGUGCUACAAUGGUCGGUACAGAGGGCUGCGAAACCGCGAGGUGGAGCUAAUCCCAGAAAGCCGAUCUCAGUUCGGAUUGGAGUCUGCAACUCGACUCCAUGAAGUCGGAAUCGCUAGUAAUCGCGAAUCAGCAGGUCGCGGUGAAUACGUUCCCGGGCCUUGUACAC